rnacentral:misc_RNA from 1 species
GAUGAAGAACGCAGCGAAAUGCGAUAAGUAAUGUGAAUUGCAGAAUUCAGUGAAUCAUCGAAUCUUUGAACGCACAUUGCGCCCGCCAGUAUUCUGGCGGGCAUGCCUGUUCGAGCGUCAUUUCAACCAUCAAGCCCCCGGCUUGUGUUGGGGACCUGCGGCUGCCGCAGGCCCUUAAAAGCAGUGGCGGGCUCGCUGUCACACCGAGCGUAGUAGAUUUCAUCUCGCUCAGGGCGUGCUGCGGGUUCCGGCCGUUAAACCACCUUCAUAACCCAAGGUUGACCUCGGAUCAGGUAGGAAGACCCGCUGAACUUAAGCAUAUCAAUAAGCGGAGGA